rnacentral:rRNA from 1 species
CCUACGGGCGGCAGCAGUGGGGAAUAUUGGGCAAUGGGCGCAAGCCUGACCCAGCAACGCCGCGUGAAGGAAGAAGGCUUCCGGGUUGUAAACUUCUUUUCUCAGGGACGAAGUAAGUGACGGUACCUGAGGAAUAAGCCACGGCUAACUACGUGCCAGCAGCCGCGGUAAUACGUAGGGGGCAAGCGUUAUCCGGAUUUAUUGGGUGUAAAGGGGGUGUAGGCGGGACGGAAAGUCAGAUGUGAAAACUAAGGGCUCAACCCUGGGCCUGCAUUUGAAACUUUGUUUCUUGAGUGCUGGAGAGGCAAACGGAAUUCCGUGUGUAGCGGUGAAAUGCGUAGAUAUACGGAGGAACACCAGUGGCGAAGGCGGAUUGCUGGACAGUAACUGACGCUGAGGCGCGAAAGCGUGGGGAGCAAACAGGAUUAGAUACCCGUGUAGUC